CACGUAGGGGGCGAGCGUUGUCCGGAAUCAUUGGGCGUAAAGGAGCUCGUGAGCGGCUCAGUAAGUCGGGUGUGAAACCCCCAGGCUCAACCUGGGGACGCCACCCGAUACUGCUGUGGCUAGAGUCCAGUAGGGGAGUGUGGAAUUCCCGGUGUAGCGGUGGAAUGCGUAGAGAUCGGGAAGAACAUCAGUGGCGAAGGCGAGCUC
rnacentral:rRNA from 1 species